rnacentral:rRNA from 1 species
CACGUAGGCGGGUACUUAAGUCAGGUGUGAAAGACCGCAGCCCAACUGCGGGGUUGCACUUGAAACUGGAUAUCUUGAGGGCAGGAGAGGUCAGUGGAAUUCCUGGUGUAGCGGUGAAAUGCGUAGAUAUCAGGAGGAACACCAGUGGCGAAGGCGGCUGACUGGACUGACCCUGACGCUGAGGUGCGAAAGCGUGGGGAGCAAACAG